rnacentral:rRNA from 1 species
CAGCCGCCGCGGGAAUACGUAGGGUGCAAGCGUUAUCCGGAAUUACUGGGCGUAAAGCGUGCGUAGGUGGUGGUUUAAGUCCGUUGUGAAAGCCCUGGGCUCAACCUGGGAAUUGCAGUGGAUACUGGGUCACUAGAGUGUGGUAGAGGAUAGUGGAAUUUCCGGUGUAGCAGUGAAAUGCGUAGAGAUCGGAAGGAACAUCUGUGGCGAAGGCGACUAUCUGGGCCAACACUGACACUGAGGCACGAAAGCGUGGGGAGCAAACAGGAUUAGAGACCCCCGUAGUCCCUGUCUCUUAUAC